rnacentral:rRNA from 1 species
UACGUAGGUGGCAAGCGAUACUCGGAAUCACUAGGCGUAAAGCGCAGGUAGGCGGUUUGGUAAGUCUUUUGUGAAAGCUCCCGGCUUAACUGGGAGAGGUCAAGGGAAACUACCGGACUAGAGUGUGGUAGGGGGAUACUGGAAUUCCUGGUGUAGCGGUGGAAUGCGCAGAUAUCGGGAGGAACACCUAUGGCGAAGGCAGCUCGCUGGGACGUUAACUGACGCUGGAGACGCGAAAGCGUGGGGAGCAAACAGG